ensembl:lncRNA
CUCACAUCCUUUCAUAGUUUCUGUUCCCACAUGGAUUCUGCUUUCCUCUCGACAGCUUCAGCCCCCAUGGACUCUGAUCCCUGCAGGACUCUGCUUCCUCGCUGAGCCCAGCUUGCCUCCAACCUGCCAUAGCCCCACUUGGACUCUUGUCUUCCCCCAUCCCUGGAUAACUGCCGGUCCUCUCUGUCCCAGCUUCCAGAUUCCCCAUGCCUGCCUUCCUUGGCUCCUUAGUUCUGUUUCCCCUGGGUUCCCCCAGCAGAGGAGAACAGGGACACCAUCCAUGGAGCCACCCAUUUCCUGGUUGUAUUCCCCGCUGAGGGUUCCUGUGGGUUCCUGUUCAAAAGACUACUUGGUCACACACAUAUACCGUAAGAGUCGCGUGGCGACCAGACGCCUGCUUCUAAAGGAAGUAAGAUCAGCGUGUCCUCUGUUACAAUAAAUACUGGGAGGCUUGUGUUCCUCAACAUCCCCUGCUAUUCUUUUUCAGAACCAAAAACAGUAGAAAGGGAAGUAAGACACAAUACUUUUCCUGUGACACCAAAGACCCUGAGCAUUGUGAUCAUCUAGUCUGAUACUGAGGAUGCAUUCAUGUUUUUCUUUUUUCUCCUUCCUCACCAGCACUUGUCUUUUGCCAGGAUGUGACAUGGGGAAGAGAAAGUAAAGGAGUAAAGUGAAGGAGAUGUAAGUGAAUAAAAGUUAGACAGGUGCUUGUUUAUGUAUUUAGAAAAGUCCAUUCAUAAAGAUGUUUGGAACAUUAAAAAACAAAAAAUAAUACAUAGUUAAUUUAAGAUAAGUUGAAGAAAACAUCUUUGUCUGAUACAGGGAUGUGUGCUCUGAAGAAUAGUCUGACUUCUUAACCUGAAAGUCUGACAGUUCAGUUUUCAAGAUUGCCACAGAAGGAUUGUUAAAAAUAUGAACUCUCCAGAUCCAGGAAACAUUCUAACAGUUUUUGAAUAAUAAGUCAGACAAAAGGAACCUUUCAACUGUGUGAGGGGGGGAAAAAA